ensembl:lncRNA
GUGAUUUCAAGGGAUAAUCUCCAGAAUGGACAGUAUUGAACUUGAAGGCAACAUGCUACAGGCAAAAAUGCAGGGUUUUUUUUCAUGUAGUAGUCAAUUUGUGAUUUUAGGCUAUUUGGCCUUUCAUAAAGUGGUGUUUCACUAGUGGAAAGGAUAAUACACAUUUAAGUUUUUAUUUAAUUGCAUUUUAUCUGUAGAUUUUAAUUACAAUAUAUAACUUCAAUCAGUUUUCUUAAAAAGAAGCGAUAGAGAAAUCUUCACUUUAGCAGCUGCAAUUUUUUUUUUUUUUUACAGAGGGGUUUGUUCUUAUAGCAUUUUCUUGAUUUUAUACAUUUUAUUUCUAAAGACAUUCAAUUUCUUCAGAUAGUUCAGAUUAAUGCAUCAUUUGCAUAUUUAAAUAUAACAUUUAAGAAAUCUUGGUGUGUCAUGAUAUCUGUUAGUUCAAUUUUUAGCCAGAGUAUUAUAUUUGAAAGUAUCAAAUUAAUUAAAAAUUAUUUAAAAAGCAAGUAUACACUGUAAGUGCAUGUGGGAUUGAUUUCUGUAGCUUCAAGUAAAUACAUUUGUCACAUUGGGGCCUCUGAAUGAAAUAAGUGCAUGGUUUAUGGUAAGUAUUUGUGACCCUUGCAUCUCUCAGUGUGGGUUUGAUGACUGAUCCAAACCUCUUUUUUUAUUCCAGGAGUUAGUGGUCUUGGCUUCUCUUCUCUGGUGGUGAUGGCCUGGGGAACCGCCAACAUGGAGCUGUCCUGCUUCAAUUCACACUCAUCUUCCCUGUCUCAUGGGUGUGAAAUUAUAAGCUCCGAGGACACCUUCAUUCACAUUUUACAAGACUUCAGCAGCUUGUCAGCCAUUGAUCAGUCCAGGCUUUUAUUGCAUGGAAAAGAGCAGCGUGAACAUCCUUCAAAAUGCUUUGGACCAACAUGAGGUUUCCACACAGUUCAGAGAUGCCAACAGCCGACGCUCCCCGUGUUACAUGGGUUGCUUGGAAACCAGCGCAUUGGGAGCAUGUAGUGCAACACACAGAGGCACAGGAUGCAGUGUGUACAGAAAAACAGGCACUCAAAGCACACGUGUGGACAGCAUCCUCCAGACGCUCAUGAAGAUGUCCCACGGACUUCAGUUCAAUCAGUGUCUGCUAGAUUUUUACAAUGCUGGAUUUUGCCCAUCUGUUGGUUCACACAGUCCCUCCGGUCGUGGUGUCCCGUGGACGGAUCAGAGAUGUCAUCUGGUUGUCUCAAUUUGUGGAGUUUGGACUUUGGCCGGCCUCACCUCCUCCCGCUCAGAGGAUAAAGCCGGAUCAAGAUCACAUCCCUUCUAGUAUCCAUGGGCUCGAGGAGGAUACAGACCCUUCCUUCCCGCUCCACAUGCAGUGCAAAAAAAAUAAAAAACAAAUGACGAACUGAUAAAGGUGAAAG